GAUGAACGCUGGCGGCGUGCCUAAUACAUGCAAGUCGAGCGAACGGACGAGAAGCUUGCUUCUCUGAUGUUAGCGGCGGACGGGAGAGUAACACGUGGAUAACCUACCUAUCAGACUGGGAUAACUUCGGGAAACCGGAGCUAAUACCGUAUGAUAUUUUGAACCGCAUGGUUCAAUAGUGAAAGACGGUCUUUCUGUCACUUAUCGAUGGAUCCGCGCUGCAUUAGCUAGUUGGUAAGGUAACGGCUUACCAAGGCAACGAUGCAUAACCGACCUGAGAGAGUGAUCGGCCACAUGGGAGCGGAGCCGGGGUCAAGACGCCUAAGGGAGGCAGCAGUAGGGAAUCUUACGCAAUGGGCGAAAGCCUGACGGAGCAAGGCCGCGUGAGUGAUGAAGGUCUUGGGAUCGUAAAACUCUGUUAUGAGGGAAGAACAUAUGUGUAAGGAACUGUGCACAUAUUGACGGUAACUAAUCAGAAAGCCACGGCUAACUACGUG
rnacentral:rRNA from 1 species